ensembl:lincRNA
CGAAAGUGACUUCAGAGGUCUCAGUCCAAGCCACUCCUUCAUCAUUUCCUCUCAUUAAACAGAACAUGGUUUGACUGCAGGAACAAAAGUUGGCCAAAAGAAAGGACAAUUCAUGAAAAGAGAUAAGACAAAUGCACAGACUGAGAUAGAAGCCAUUCCCCCAAGCGCAGAGUCAGACCUUCCAUUUGGACCAAACAAGAUCACCUCUGAACCAAUGUCUCUGAAGACACAAAACAUGUCUAUGUUACAAUCUUGACUUCCCCAAAGUACUCUG